rnacentral:lncRNA from 1 species
GAUGCCGGACCGAGAGGGAGAAGUGGCUGCAGCGGUGACGAUUCACUCUUGGGAUGACUGUUGUGGCUCUAAAAUAGGGAACAGAGGAAGAGGGAGGAAGAACAAGAGGAGAAGAAGAGAGAAAGAGCAGCAGAGAGGAAGAGAAGAGGGAGAAGAGGAGAAGGGGAAGAGCGAGAAGGAGGUAGGGAGAAGAGGAGAAGGGGAAGAGCGAGAAGGAGGUAGAGAGAAGAGGGAGACGUGGGAAAAAAAUUCUUAAUUCUUCAUUAACUCUAAUCAUCAUAAAAGUCCCCUAUAAAUAGGGCC